AUUCGAACUCAUGACCUCUGACUCCAAAGCCCGUGCUCUUUCCACCGAGCCACGCCGCUUCUCAUGCUGACUGGAUGCUGAGCGCUGGACUGAACACCUGGAAUGAUGACAUUUUAAUGCUCACGUUAAGUAAUCGCUCCAUGAAUCCGACUUUAUUACAAACAAGAUGUGGGCCAAAUUAAAAGUCACUAAAAGCAAAAAGGACUUAUCCAGAAAUGUUAAAACAACAUUCCUCUCCCUGAAAGUGGCUCAAAGUGGACGCGGAAACUGAGGCCCAAAGAAGAUGAAUGACUCGCCCGAGGUCACAAGCAAGCCCGUGACAGAGCCGGGCCUCGAACUUGCAGCUCUUCGAUCGGGGCCCGGUGAUGCUUCCUCUGGACCCCGCUGUCUUUCUACCUGUAAGUUUGC